GACGAACGCUGGCGGCGUGUCUAAUACAUGCAAGUCGAGCGAAUGGAAGGGAGCUUGCUCCCUAAAGUUAGCGGCGGACGGGUGAGUAACACGUGGGCAACCUGCCUGUAAGACUGGGAUAACUUCGGGAAACCGGAGCUAAUACCGGAUACGUUCUUUCCUCGCAUGAGGGAAGAUGGAAAGAUGGUUUCGGCUAUCACUUACAGAUGGGCCCGCGGCGCAUUAGCUAGUUGGUGGGGUAAUGGCCCACCAAGGCGACGAUGCGUAGCCGACCUGAGAGGGUGAUCGGCCACACUGGGACUGGGACACGGCCCAGAAUCCUACGGGAGGCAGCAGUAGGGAAUCUUCCGCAAUGGACGAAAGUCUGACGGAGCAACGCCGCGUGAGCGAAGAAGGCCUUCGGGUCGUAAAGCUCUGUUGUCAGGGAAGAACAAGUGCCAGAGUAACUGCUGGCACCUUGACGGUACCUGACCAGAAAGCCACGGCUAACUACGUGCCAGCAGCCGCCGUAACAC
rnacentral:rRNA from 1 species